UACGUAGGUGGCAAGCGUUGUCCGGAUUUAUUGGGUUUAAAGGGUGCGUAGGCGGUUUUCUAAGUAAGCAGUGAAAUACGGCAGCUCAACUGUCGAGGUGCUGUUGAUACUGGGGAACUUGAGUACUGAUGAGGUAGGCGGAAUGGACGGUGUAGCGGUGAAAUGCUUAGAGAUCGUCCAGAACACCGAUAGCGAAGGCAGCUUACUAAGGAGUAACUGACGCUGAGGCACGAAAGUGUGGGGAUCAAACAGG
rnacentral:rRNA from 1 species